AUGAGUCAGCCUCCCCAUCUUCACUUCUGUCACUCGGGUCGAGAUGCAGCCUCUGCAGAAUCCAAAGGCAGUCAGAACUCUUCACGGACUGUCCAGUCACCUGGACCUCAGGCUACCUGAGCUGUCAGAAAGUGACCCGCAGAUGGGAAGAGCAGGACAAGGUCCUCCCUAUCAGGAACAAUGGUUUCAGCUCUCCUAGGAAAACACCGUGCAUUCCUGGCUCUGGAAAACUGCAUGCCAAAUUUUCUGACCAACUACUUGUGGGUUGAGAGUUCUCCUUUGGGAGAACCCCAAAGUCAGCCAGACGCCUGACUGCCAGUCCCAGGGUGUGGGCUUUGGUCUGCCUGAGCUGACUGCAAGUGACCCAGAUGCGUUGAAGGUGGAACCAUUUCCCUUUUACCUGGAACAACCAAGUGCCUUCCAGGAUGGGGGUGUUUCCCCCUCACAGUCACCCGUGGCUCUCACUCCUCCCUAUCCCUUAGCAUCCCUCUUAGUCUCUGAGCGAGCUGAACCCACUCCAAAUCAAGUAACUGGGUUUACGCUA